CCUACGGGUGGCUGCAGUGGGGAAUAUUGCACAAUGGGCGCAAGCCUGAUGCGGCCAUGCCGCGUGUGUGAAGAAGGCCUUCGGGUUGUAAAGCACUUUCAGCGGGGAGGAAGGCGGUGAGGUUAAUAACCUCAUCGAUUGACGUUACCCGCAGAAGCAGCACCGGCUAACUCCGUGCCAGCAGCCGCGGUAAUACGGAGGGUGCAAGCGUUAAUCGGAAUUACUGGGCGUAAAGCGCACGCAGGCGGUCUGUCAAGUCGGAUGUGAAAUCCCCGGGCUCAACCUGGGAACUGCAUUCGAAACUGGCAGGCUAGAGUCUUGUAGAGGGGGGUAGAAUUCCAGGUGUAGCGGUGAAAUGCGUAGAGAUCUGGAGGAAUACCGGUGGCGAAGGCGGCCCCCUGGACAAAGACUGACGCUCAGGUGCGAAAGCGUGGGGAGCAAACAGGAUUAGAUACCCUUGUAGUC
rnacentral:rRNA from 1 species